rnacentral:rRNA from 1 species
AACGAACGCUGGCGGUAUGCCUAACACAUGCAAGUCGAACGAGACCUUCGGGUCUAGUGGCGCUUGGGUGCGUCACGCGUGGGACCCUUCCCUUAGGCUCGGAAUACUACUUCGACAGGGGUGCUAAUAUCGGGUAACUUCUUCGAAUCCAAGAUUUAUCCUACUUGUAUGGGCACGGGUUGUUUUAGCUAGUUGGUAGGGAAAAAGCCUACCAAGGCGACGAUCCUUAGCUGGUCAGAGAGGAUGAUCAGCCACACUGGGACGGAGACACGGCCCAGACUCCUACGGGAGGCAGCAGUGGGGAAUAUUGGACAAUGGGCGAAAGCCUGAUCCAGCAAUGCCGGGUGAGUGAUGAAGGCGUUAGGGUUGUAAAGCUCUUUUACCCGGGAUGAUAAUGACAGUACCGGGAGAAUAAGCUCCGGCUAACUCCGUG